rnacentral:rRNA from 1 species
CAGUAGCGAAUAUUAAAGUUGUUGCAGUUAAAAUGCUCGUAGUUGAAGUUCGGAUGCAGCAGAGCUUGGAAACGCUGUUAUGGUGCUUCCGUUGCUUUUGCUUGUCCACAGUGCGUUGCAAGUACGUAUGUGCUUGUGCGUGCAUUUUACUUUGAGAAACAUAGGGUGUUCCACGCAUGUUACGGCAUGAAUAUUCCAGCAUGGGAUAAUCUGGUACGACUUCCAAUCUGCCAUUUUGGUUCGUAGGUUGGAAGUAAUGAUUAAUAGGGACUGUCGGGGGCAUUGGUAUUUGACUGUCAGAGGUGAAAUUCUUAGAUUCGUUGAGGACCAACCACUGCGAAAGCAUUUGUCAAGGAUGUCUCCAUUAA